ACAGGAGAUGAACUAGAGCAGACAACAGAAGUGAUCGAACUUGAGAAUGAUUAUGACAUCCUACCAUGUCCCAAAGCCUUGAAUUAUGAAGAGGCCAUUUACGAUACCCCUCUGUCCAACCAGAAAGCCAGUGAGAGACGGCAUGAAAUGACUGAAAGCAUUUAUGAUGUUCCAAGGUGUGCAUUUACACAAACAUCUAAUUCAGUGACUGAUACCCCCUGUGCUGAAGAGAGGGCUGAGAUUGCUGGUUUGCUGGGUGACAUGGUGUCAUGUUUGGGAGGAAACACUGCAGAAUGGGUUAGGGCUGCAUCAAAAGCUGUACGCCAACCUCAUCUAUAAGAUUUUUCCACACUGCUUCAUGUGGAGUAGUCUGUGUUUAACUUAACAUUUUUAAGGAAAAUGUGAUUUAACUGGCACUGUCAUACACUAUAUAGUCAAUUAUACAUUUACUCAGAAAUAUUCUACAACUCCACCCCCAAUAAAGGAUUCCUAAUGCUAACUCCCCUUACCUCUCAAAUGAACAUUGUAAUAGAGUAGAAGUAUAUU